GACGAACGCUGGCGGCGUGCUUAACACAUGCAAGUCGAACGGAAAGGCCCUGCUUGCCGGGUGCUCGAGUGGCGAACGGGUGAGUAACACGUGGGUGAUCUGCCCCUUACUUUGGGAUAAGCCCGGGAAACUGGGUCUAAUACUGGAUAGGACCAUGCUGUAGGUGGUGUGGUGGAAAGAUUAGUUUCGGUAAGGGAUGAGCUCGCGGCCUAUCAGCUUGUUGGUGGGGUAAUGGCCUACCAAGGCGUCGACGGGUAGCCGGCCUGAGAGGGUGGACGGCCACAUUGGGACUGAGAUACGGCCCAGACUCCUACGGGAGGCAGCAGUGGGGAAUAUUGCACAAUGGGCGCAAGCCUGAUGCAGCGACGCCGCGUGGGGGAUGACGGCCUUCGGGUUGUAAACUCCUUUCAGCCAUGACGAAGCCCUUGUGGUGACGGUAGUGGUAGAAGAAGCACCGGCUAACUACGUG
rnacentral:rRNA from 1 species